GUCUGGGGGGAGCUGCUGCCUGUGGGGGACCCGUGCUGGAGCAGUUUGCUCCUGACAGAGGAACCCCUUGGUACGGACCCAUGUUGUAGCAGUUCUUGAAGAGCUGCUGCCUGUGGGCAGCCCCCCAGGAUCAGUUUGGGAAAGAUGGCAUCCCAUGGGAGGGAUCCCACGUGGAGCAGGGGCAGGGAGUGACCGUGAAGGAGCGGCAAAGAUAAAGCAUUAGGGACUGACUGCAGCCCCUAUUCCCCAUUCCCGUGCACCACUCUGGGGAAGGACAUAAGAGAGAGAGGAUGGGAAGAAGAUAUCAGUUUCAAAAUUUAAUAUUGGAAGGAUUGCAUAGAUCACUCGAAUCAGACGCAACAACCCUAGAAGAAUGAAUAACCCACUGCACUAAUAAAAUCGGAGACUGGACAAAGACUCUGACUUAAUUCACUCAUGUUAAAGAUGAAGGAGAAAAGGCAGCUAAACGUAGGCAACAAUAUGAGAUUCAGAGGCAGAAUUGCAAGCAUAGCAUUUCUCAUUUAUGUAUUAGAUUUGCAAUGGGAUUUUGUUAUAUCCAGGCCUGUUUUGAAAAGAUCAAACAGCAGCUGUAGGCAGAAAGAUGCUUUUUCAUGUACUUCUGAGUAAAAGUUUAUAGUAUUUCUUUUCUGAUCUCAAACAUAUUGCCAUCCUGUAUGUCAUUACUACUUUGGAUUUUCUGUCUGCACUCCACAGGAGCUCUACACUGGUUCUUCUCAGAAGCUUAAAUUAAAAGAGAAUGAAACUA